UACGUAGGGUGCGAGCGUUGUCCGGAAUUAUUGGGCGUAAAGGGCUCGUAGGCGGUCUGUCACGUCGGGAGUGAAAACUCGGGGCUCAACCCCGAGCCUGCUUCCGAUACGGGCAGACUAGAGGUAUGCAGGGGAGAAUGGAAUUCCUGGUGUAGCGGUGAAAUGCGCAGAUAUCAGGAGGAAUACCGGUGGCGAAGGCGGUUCUCUGGGCAUUACCUGACGCUGAGGAGCGAAAGUGUGGGGAGCGAACAGG
rnacentral:rRNA from 1 species